CAGCCGGCCACGGUAGGGUCAGCGACUGGGGUGAAGUCGUAACAAGGUAGCCGUAGGGGAACCUGCGGCUGGAUCACCUCCUUUCUAAGGAUGAUCCUUCAGCGAGCUCACGCUCACUAUCGGAUCGUUUUAGAAACAUCAGUGGCCAACAGAUCGCCAGAUCGUUGAGCUGCAUUGGCGGGAUUUCGCCGUCUUCGUUUCUCUUUCUUCGCGGACGAACACGCGCUGGGCCUGCAUCAAGCAGGAUCCCACGGUCCCUGACGGGAUAGGCGUUAGGGGCUUGUAGCUCAGUUGGUUAGAGCGCGCGCUUGAUAAGCGUGAGGUCGGAAGUUCAAGUCUUCCCAGGCCCACCACUUUCAUCGAGUGAGCAUUCGUCUUCUGGUUACGGGGCCAUAGCUCAGCUGGGAGAGCGCGUGCUUUGCAAGCAUGAGGUCGUCGGUUCGAUCCCGUCUGGCUCCACCAGAUGGUUUGAUCACCGAGAUCUUGCACCGUCGUCCGCGAAACAUCACUUCGCAUCCUGCUAGUCUGGAUAGACAGCAAGAUGCGUGUUUUCUGACAUCGUAAAGAGGAGAUCGAUCCGAGUUGGGUCGUGCAGCAGAUUGUUGCGCGAACCUUCAUUAUCUCCGGAUCAUUUUCGGCGCUCGCUUUCAGCCGUGAGGUUGAAUGCGAGUUGUAAAAUGAUCCUUUUAGCGAAGCUUGACCGCCUCGCUAUCGGAACGAUCUUACGAAGCAAGCUGGUCUUUCUAGUCAAUGUCCGGCUGCACGUAGCAUUCAUCGAGGGUGCGCGCCGUAAGGCAAUCGUGCAGACAACAUUCUGCCGAGUGUGUGGACAUUGAUAAUGAGAGCAAUCAAGUGCCUUAAGGGUGUUCGGUGGAUGCCUUGGCGCUGAGAGGCGAUGAAGGACGUGCUACGCUGCGAUAAGCCGUGGGGAGCUGCGAAGAAGCUUUGAUCCGCGGAUUUCCGAAUGGGGAAACCCACCUUCGAUAGCCGGAACUCCAAGACCUUGUGUUUUGGUGUUCGACCAGAAAUGAUCGGGACCAUGACCCUAGAGGUUUUGGAUUUCCGGUUAUCAAGAGAAGGUAUGAGACUUCUGAAUACAUAGGAGGUUUCAAGCAAACCCAGGGAACUGAAACAUCUAAGUAC
rnacentral:misc_RNA from 1 species